UUAAGGAACUGAAGAAUCUCUUUAAGAGGAAGGGCUGAGGCAGCUGGAGGCCUGUUUAGCUUUGAGAAGAGAUGACUGAGAGGAGAUUUCAUCAGUGGCAAGAGUGACAAGAGGAUGGAACUGGGCUCUUCUUGGUGGUACCAAGACACAGGACAAGAGGCAGAAACUGAUGCCCAGGAAGUUCCACCUGAACAUGAGGAAGACCUUCUUUGCUGUGCAGUUGACCACACACUAGAACUGUUGCCCAGACACAUUGUGGAGUAUCCCAUACUGGAGAUAUUCAAGAACUGUUUGGAUACAAUUCUGUGCAAAUCCUGCUUAAGCAAGGAGGUUGGGCCAGAUGAUCCACUAUGGUCCCUUCCAACCUGAUUGAUUCUGUGAUUUGGGACAAAAAGUCCAUCCCAUUACCACGAAGAGCCUGUGGAACCAAUCUGCCAGCAGGUAACAUCACUUGAAUGCCUGCCAGUAGCUGCUUGUCUCUCAAAACGCUCCCAUUUUCAUUUUCAGAAUUUUUGAUAAAUAAACCUAAAAUUAAAUAUCAGAGCCUAAGGGAGUUUUAAUCAUCCUUAGGAAAAGAAACUUGCACAACCACCAAGUUCAGCUGACAUUAACAGCCUGUUAUUCAGGAUUUCUUCUGCAAUCUCUGUCCUUAUCUAUCCUUAUCUGUUCUGCAGUUUCUGUCCUUUCACAUCUAGACAAUAUGAAAACUGCAAAAAGAAAACUGAUUGGUUCAUAAGAAACAAGAUAGGAAGUCCAAGAUGACAAUGAGAAUAAAUAGUAAUCAGGUAAGUGGUGUUUAUAGGCCUUCAAUGCAAAGGACAGAGGAAAAUGACAAAGGAAAAAACCCAACCACACAACCACCCAGAUCCCAGUAUCUUGGAAUUAACAUGAGAAAAAGAAGCGAACCUCUGCAAGGCCUCAAGCAAGAGACCAUCCUGCUGUUUUCCUGACAGACUGUCCCAAACAAGUGUCCUCUGCCACUUCCCCAGCCCACCCAAAGUGCCAGGUGUAUUCCACUGAAUUUGCUACCUGCACCUUUUCUCCCCAGCUGCACUCCAGAAUUUCCAUUUCCCAGAAAAAUCCCAUUGCUAGCUUUAAUGACUGAAAAAAUCUUAAGGGCUGAGGUUUUUGCCUUGGGCCUCAAAAGUGAGUCUUUCUGAAUUUGUACACAACCCAAAAUAAUAGUGUGUGAACCUCAAACAAUAUAUUUCAUCCAUGGGUAUGAUGUGAUUUCCAUGGAGGGUGGGGCAUAAUGCUGUCAAGGAACCUGUAGUAGCAAGUGAUGAAGUGAUUGCUGAAGAUAACUAGACAUUGCCAAAGAUAACCAGACAAGCAAUUAGAAAAGCCAGAAACAGCACCCCUAGGUGCUAUUGCCAAACCUCAGGUUUACAGUCUUACCUGUUGGCAACAACAGCAGAUGUGAUCUUUAUCUGAUUAGUAGGGUAACCCAUCUAAGUAUCCAAGCUGUCUAAAACCUGAGCUCACACAGGCCAUGGAUAUAUAGGUUGGUACUACGGUAGGGAAGCUAUGGUAUCUGGAGCCCAAAUCCCCAAUACAGGCUUGAGCCAGCUGAAUUAUUAGCUCUGAAGUUUGGGCUUCAUUCAUUUAAGUGGUAUUGAUGUGAACGUUCAAGCCGAUCCUGUAUGUUUCACUCUCAUAGUGCAGAAUAAUUUGGCCCCAGUCCUGCAAAUACAUUUUGCCACCGCAACUAGCUCCAGUUUACAGCAGACAUUUGGUGACUUGCCAGUGCUGUCUUUUUUUCUCUCUGUAGAAAGGAAAAGGGAUGCUGUGGGCUUGGCUGUUAUCACCAUCAUUAAAUCUCUUUUCAUCCUCUUUUUCUUUCUUCCCUUUCACCUUCCAGUUAAGGCAUCCUCACCACUUCAAAGUGUUGAGCAAUAAUUGAGGAAUAAUACUAGUACUGAUAAUAAAUGCACAAAUUUAGCUGGCUUGACGGUUUCAAUGUAUUAAUGUAAAGUGUCAAUAUUAAGUAUUUUGCAAAACAGGAGUCCAGCAAGGCCUUGGCUCCAUACUUAGUUAAACACAGGCAGUUGAUGUCAAGGGAUGAACUCGCAGACUGACAUGCUGUUUGCAGGGUGUACAGUCCAGUUGGGCAAGAACAAGGAUAUUCCAACUGACCCAAACACUUUACAAAAUUGGAUUCCUGGGGAAGCUGCUUUUUGCCAUCUGGCAGGAAAGAGCGACAGUGUCCUGGUAGCUGGCAGCCAGUAGUCAGUACAAAAACGGCGUUUACCUGUGCUACGGCCAAGAAAGCUUCUGCGAGUGGAAGCAAAGGCACUACCACCGCCGGCGCUGCCUGGGGAGCGCUCUGGCGCUCCACUUCCUAGAGCUUUGUUUUCCCGGCUGCGGAGCACCAGCCGGGCCCUUGCGGAGGCAGCGCGGCAGGGGUGCAGAUUCGUCCCCCGCCACCGCCGAGGGGCCCGUAGGACGCAGUGACAACGGGACGCCGGAGGAUCUCGCAGCGGGGGCAGCGGGUGUCGGGCAGCGGGGGUUCGCCCCGGAGGCCAGGCUGAGAGUGACCACGGCCACGACGCCCCAUCCCGUCUCGUUCCACGAGCGACGCGGAGCAGCGGCCGUUCAGCUCCUCCCUCCCCCGCCCAGCGACGACUCGGAGCGGCCGGCGGCGGCGGCUCUGCGCAUCACGGGCCACAUCAUCGCGGGGGCCGCUCGGUUCCGCGCCUGCUCAGUGGCGGCGGCGCUCACCUAGCGGAGUUGUCACCGCCGCCUGCUGCUCCUGCCCCGCCGCAGCGAUGGAGCGCAACUCCGCCACGCUGCCGGCACCGCUGUCGCCCAGAUCCAGUCUUGCUUAUGGAAAUGUUGAAGAUUUGAGAGCAAUGAAAAAACACUUUUGCUUGCAGAAAAUGAAUAUUUUGGUCCACGUGUAAGUGUCGCAUUUGGUGACUCACCUGCAAAAUUUCUUGGCUGACAUCUGAAGAACAAAGUGCUUUUCAACCUGUACUUCUGUAGCACUAUGACUAACUGUAAAGGCAGAUCUACCAUCUCCAAAACAAAUAGCAAAGUCCAUGACAGAGAAGGCUUUGUAAACUGGACCAUAAAUCUUAAUACAAUUCAGUCUGAUAAAUUUUUGAGGCUGCUUUUAAGUAUGGUUCCUGUUCUUUACCAAAUAAACCAAGAGGAAAGACACAAAAAGGUGAAUGGUGUCUGGCAAGAUGGAUUGCAACCAGCAGGACACAAUUUCAGUGUCAGGUCUGAGCAACAUACAGCGUACCAUCACUUCUCAGAAGCAAGCUUUCAUGGUAGCAGUGAACACAGCCCAUCCAGUUGUAGCCCUAAAUAUGAUGGUUUUGCCAGUUACAAUUACUGUGAUGGAAUGGACACUUCAGAAACAGAUGCCAUGUUGCAGGAUGACACUCUCUCUAGUGACAGUAAUGAGGAUAUCAUUGUGGAAGGAAGUAGAAAACAACCCAAAGAAUCGAGUAGUAUUAUGGCACUGCAGAUACUUGUACCUUUUUUGCUGGCAGGGUUUGGAACUGUUUCUGCUGGCAUGGUUUUGGAUAUUGUACAGCACUGGGAUGUGUUCAAGAAUGUUACUGAAGUCUUUAUCUUGGUUCCUGCGCUUCUUGGUCUCAAAGGAAAUUUGGAAAUGACUUUGGCAUCCCGGCUGUCAACUGCUGUAAAUACUGGAAAAAUGGAUUCUCCCAUUGAGAAAUGGAACCUAAUAAUUGGCAAUUUGGCCUUAAAACAGGUUCAGGCAACAGUAGUUGGUUUUCUGGCAGCAGUGGCAGCAGUAAUAUUGGGCUGGAUUCCAGAGGGCAAAUACCGCUUUGAUCAUUCAGUCCUUUUGUGUUCUAGCAGUGUAGCAACUGCCUUCAUAGCUUCUCUUUUGCAAGGAGUAAUAAUGGUUGGAGUUAUUGUUGGAUCCAAGAAGACUGGUAUUAAUCCUGACAAUGUUGCAACUCCUAUUGCAGCAAGUUUUGGAGAUCUCAUCACCCUUGCCAUAUUAGCAUGGAUAAGUCAGGGUCUGUACACUUGCCUUGAGACAUAUUACUAUGUAUCUCCUUUGGUUGGUGCUUUUUUUUUGGCUCUGACUCCAAUGGGGAUUGUCAUAGCUGCCAAACACCCAGCUACCAGAACUGUCCUCCACUCAGGAUGGGAGCCUGUUGUAACUGCCAUGAUUAUAAGCAGUAUUGGUGGCCUUAUUCUGGACACAACAGUAUCUGAUCCUAACUUGGUUGGAAUUGUUGUUUAUACCCCAGUAAUUAAUGGAAUAUAAAUUUCACUGAUAUACAGAUUCUCUGCAUCAUCCUUUUCGACCCACUUUAAAGAUACAUUUUCUGUUUUCUCCACUACAGCCCUCAGGUAUUCUCUAACCUCCAAAAUAAUCAGUUUGCAAAAAUGAUCACUAAUACUUCAUGGAUUGUUAACUUAGCUCUCUAGAUGCAGUAAAUUUAACUUAACUCUCAGGCUCUAGUAUUUAUUUACUUGUGAUCAGGUAUCACCAUUUUUAUGAAGGCAGUAGACAAAAGAAACUGACUAUUUAAAUCUUCAGUAGAGCAUGUUGCUUGCUCUUCUUUCUCAUUAAGACCCUCUAUUUCAUUUCUUCUUACUUUUAAUGGGAAAGAUUUCUGGGUUGCAACUUGAGUUCCUUGCUAACAAUAAAUUAAAUUUUACACUACAGCCGUUAUGUUUCCUUAUCUGUUCCUUGCCUUUCUAUCAAUUCGAAAUUGGAAAUACUUGCAUCUAACUUUUGUGUGUUUCCAUUUUGAUUUCCAGAUACCUAAAAGGCAAGACAGACGUGUUGAUCUCCAGCUUUUUUUCUGCUUUACACCUGUAACUUUUCUUAUAGUAGUCCUUUUUUGGUUAACUCCUUGGAUUUGCUUCCUAAGAGAAGAGGAUUAGUCUUUUUUGGUUUUAGGCAGGUGUACCCAAACCAGUAUUAAGGCAAUGCCCAUACAUUAUUUUGAACUGUCUUUAUGGGAAAAGAACUAGCCAAAAGAUAGAGCCCUGGAGGUUUAGCUGACAGGUCAAAACGUCUUUGAAGAGUUAGGCAGGUGUAAGAGAGGGAAAGCUGAGGCUGCUUGAGCAGGUAGGGAGGGAAAGAGUCUUUCCAGGAGGCUGGGAUAGCAAGAGGCAUUAUUGACUCAGAAUCCUAAAGGCCGAGGCAUUUCUAUUGGAAAAUACAGAGAAAAUAUGGUCUGUGUAGAGUAUGCAGGGGUUUAUGGUACACCUCCUGGAAAAGGAAACUGUAGGAAAGGUAAUUUUUUUUGCGGUUGUUCUUAGAUCAGCCUCUCCGGGGUUUCAUAAUUCUACUGACACAUUUUGAUAUUGCUGGUCAGAACAGUGUAGUAAACUGGGGGUAAGGAAGUUCUUCAGUUAAAAAAGCACAUCUGUUGACACUCAUUUACUGACAUGAAAGGUGUGUUAGGUCACUUAAUAGAUGGCUUUUAAAAUAUUACUGUUGCAGAAAGUUUUCUCUACUUUUCUUGGCCUUGAAAUUCUCAUUGUAAGCCUAAGUAGCAAAAGAAACUGAGGGUUUCCUCCUUCUAUUUUCUUUCACCUUAAAAUUUGUUGCUCCUAUGGCACAGAAAACCUGGGGGGAAAAAAAACCAUCAGGGAAACCUGAAAGAAAUAUUCUUUCCUAUUGGGAAUUUGUCCAGCCAAAAUUUGAGGACAUUGUAAAUUUGUUCAGCCAAAAUUUGGGGAUGUAAAUUUGUCCAGAAUUUCAAGCUGUGACACUAUUUUUUAGGGCCAUUUGCUGUAUCUUGAACACCUGAACAGUAUUGACUGCAAAAUAGUCAGGUGUUAGGUUUCCUGUGCACCAUUAAGUAGGUUUUAUUCAAGUCCUGCCUAGAUAGUUUGCUUAUUCUUAGAUGUGAGACAAGUGACUUUAAUCAUGUCUUACACUGUGGAGCCAUAAAUAUUUUAGAAGAUUGAAGAAAUACUGGUCUGGAAUUUGAGCAACAUCAAAGUUUCCUACCCCUAUUAACAAUAACUACAAAUAUUUGCCCAAAAUAUUAAAAUAGUUUUUAAGCAGAAAGGCAUUUAUAGUCAGGUUUACAGCUGGUGGCCAGACAUAUUUCACAGCUGUUUUUCUAUUUUCUCACUGUUAAACACAUGUUUAAUUCUGAGGUUGGCUGGGUUAAAUUGCAUCACUGCUUUUUGAAAAUAAACAAAUGAUUUUGUUGUUUCAGACAACUUGCAGACUAUUUGAGAUUUAGAUGUCUCUUUGCGGUACUGAAGUUCUGAAUAGAAUAACUAAGCCCAAGCAGGGCUAUGCUUUGUUCUAGAAUUGAUUUGAGUUGUGUUUUCUCAUGAAUUAAAAUUUCCCAAUCCUCUUACAGCAUUACAGCAUGUUGCAAUUUGCAAGUAACUGAGCUCCUUUUGUGUAGAAAAAAAAGAUAUUAUUACAUGCUUCUGAAAAUGCAGCAGAAAUGAGCUAAAGUGCGGGUACCAGAUAAAGCCACUUUCCUCUCCAUUUUUGUGUGUUUAUACAAAAUAUUGUGAGAUAUCCUCUAAGUAUUUGCGUUUCAGAAGUUACUGAGUAAUAACCAACAUGUCAGUAGACAUUUUUAUGCACCUUAAAGGACGACAGUUCUGCAAAUUAAUUCUUAAAACACCUGAAAUUUGGAAAUACUUUGUAUCAAAAAAACUUUCCUUUGCAGGUGGUUUGAAGCAGUACUCUUUAAAAGGUAUUGGUGGCAAUCUAGUAGCUAUUCAAGCUAGCAGAAUUUCUACCUACCUCCAUUUACAUAGCAUUCCUGGAGAGCUGCCAGAGGAGGCCAAGGGUUUCUAUUACCCAUGCAGAACAUACUGUGGUACAGG